CUCUUUUGUCAGGGAAGAAAUGCUCUGGGUUAAUACCCCGGGGGGAUGACGGUACCUGAAGAAGAAGCACCGGCUAACUACGUGCCAGCAGCCGCGGUAAUACGUAGGGUGCAAGCGUUGUUCGGAAUUACUGGGCGUAAAGCGUGCGCAGGCGGUGAUGUAAGACAGAUGUGAAAUCCCCGGGCUCAACCUGGGAACUGCCUCUGAGACUGCUGGGCUUGAGUGCGGUAGAGGGGGAUGGAAUUCCUGGUGUAGCAGUGAAAUGCGUAAAUAUGCGGAGGAACACCGAUGGCGAAGGCAGUCCCCUGGGCCUGUACUGACGCUCAUGCACGAAAGCGUGGGUAGCAAACAGGAUUAGAUACCCUGGUAGUCCACGCCCUAAACGAUGUCAACUGGUUG
rnacentral:rRNA from 1 species